UUAAUGAAAACGUGAUGAAUAAGUUGUCACAAAGGAGCAACCUAAAGGCACAGGCGUGAGGUAAGGGGUGAACACAAGGGGAAACAGAUGAGAGGAGAUGUAAACAAUGAAGUAGAGAGACAGUGGAUGUGACGCAGAUGGAUUUUCCCUGUACUUCACGAUCCCAUCAUGCUUCCACUAUGACUCGCGGCUGACAGCAGAGGGCGCCAGAGGCACGUAUCACGUUAGCAGAUAUCAGUAUGCUGUUGGAGGCAGAUACUGUGCACUGACAGGUUCAAGAGGCACGUCAAACCCAAAACAUGGACCUUAAAACGUGUAAAUUCCACAUUUUUAGUGGGUGACGUGUCGUCCUGAACACAGGACAACAACACACUCACCGAUUCCAGCUGUUUCCAUGAAGUCUCGAUGUGUUGCUGAGCCUUUCGUCCAUCAUGGAAGUGCUGUGGGCAGAUACAGAGGAUGGAAAGAGGGAAUACAAAUGUAAUCAUACUCUACAAGCUAAGAAGAUUUCUAAUCCACUCCAGUGAACCUGACCUUGGCGUAGACUGGAUAAUAAAUGAAAGGCAUUGACAACUAC